GACAGAGGAGCCAAGCGUUGUCCGGAUUAACUGGGCGUAAAGCGCACGCAGGUGGUCGCGGGCGUCGGUACUGAAAGUUCGCCGCUUAACGGCGAAAGGCGUACCGAUACGCCGCGACUGGAGGUCGUGAGAGGUCGGUGGAAUUGCCGGUGUAGUGGUGAAAUGCGUAGAGAUCGGCAGGAACACCCAAUGGGAAGCCAGCCGACUGGCACGAUGCUGACACUGAGGUGCGAGAGCGUGGGGAGCGAACCGG
rnacentral:rRNA from 1 species